rnacentral:rRNA from 1 species
UCCGCAGGCGGGCAAUUAAGUCAGGGGUGAAAUGGUGCGGCUCAACCGUAGCACUGCCCUUGAUACUGGUUGUCUUGAGUCAUAGUGAAGUGGCCGGAAUAUGUAGUGUAGCGGUGAAAUGCAUAGAUAUUACAUAGAACACCGAUUGCGAAGGCAGGUCACUAACUAUCGACUGACGCUGAUGGACGAAAGCGUGGGGAGCGAACAGGAUUAGAUACCCUGGUAGUCC